UUUCAUCCUCCGAUGGUAAUGUUUUGGGGGAAAGUAUUUUACUUGGAAUUCAUUGCAGGAGUAGUUGAUAUUUGUGGUCUCUGAGGCCUCUAGCUCUUUCAGCUCGGUGUAUGUGUUUCUCUAUAUGAUUCAGUUCCCUCUCAGACACUAGAUAUUCCCAUUUGUUAGCAUCUUGUGAUUUUUCUUUUUGUGAUCUCCUCUUCCUCUAUUUUAAUUUCCCAUUCUGGAAUUGUUUUGUAGUUCUGGUCUCCUUCCAUCAUGAUUUUUUGAUGUCGUUGAUGGCAGUAUGCCUCUGCUUUAGCAAACCAGAAGUCAAAAGACAUGGCCUUAAAUUUAUCAAGUGUUUCAUUCUCCUUUUGAAACUCUUGAGCUAAUAGUUUUCUUACUUCUGAAGAGUGGAUGCCACCUAAACUCUCAUCAAACGGAGUAAUUAGAACUUUUAAAGUUGGAUAUCCUGUGUUUUAGUUCCAUUGUACAGAUCUCAAAGGAGCUAUUAGCCCUGCCUGGUACUCCUACACUCUGCCCCAAUGAGAGUCUCUUAACCAAGUACUGUAGUGAUGUCUUCCUCUUCACUGCCCCCACCCGCAGUGUUCCCUCUUAGGUGAGGACUUUGCCUUAGACAUCCUUGAGAAAACAGGAGCACCCUCCUCUUCCCACUGUCAGACUGGCCUUCUGACUUUGCAGUAGAAACAUUACCCUGUGCUUAUCAAAAGCCAGUUCUUCCACCUGUGCUUGUUAAGCUUCAGGAAUUCCAGUUUUGCAGUUAAUCAAAUUCCCUUUGCUGCAUCCUAAAACCUCCACUCUAAUGAAUCACUCCUAUCAGCAUGAAAAUAUCAGUAUGUAAAAUUCUUCCUUUAGUUCCUCUGGGGCCUUUACCGUUCUUUUCACUCCCUGCUUCACAGUGUACUUUGAAGUAGUUAUCUAUAACCCCUCUAACUGUCCUUCUUCCAUUUUCUCAGUCUACUUCCAUUUGGGUUCCACUGCCCACUACUUCUGUGAGACUGCUCUUAUCUAGGGCAUGAGUGGUUUCCAAUAGAAAGUUCGGUGGUCCUAUUGCUAUUCCUGUCUGUGAGACCUCAGCAGCAUUUAAAAGAGGUGACCACUCUCCUUUUCAAAACUUUUCUGACUUUUUUUUUAGCUACUCCUAAGGGUAUGUGACUAAGGUUAUCUUGGACCACUCGGACUAUCCCAGCCAUUUGCUGAGUAUCCUCACAUGACAAUAUCCUGAUUCUUUUCCUCUUAGCCACUUUUUCUCAUGUGCCUUGCUGGGCUGUCUUUUAAACAUAAUGCAGGAAAAUAUAGUGGAGAACAUAGUCACUCGAGAUAGAACAUGGUCACAAUUAGGCUUCCUUGGAUAAGGUGACCUACCAUGUGUCAGGCACUGCUCUAGAGCGGGAAUAGGAAUGAAGGAGACAGAAGAGCUACAAGGGCACUACCCUGCCCACUGCUCUCAACUUUGGAUCUAACCCUUGUUGGGGAAUGGGGACCUACUGCAAUCCGACGGUCUUGAGUAUUUCUAGCCCAGGCCAUUCUAGAAGAUCAAAAAGAGAAAUUAAUGCCAGGAUUUGGAGAAAGACAUCGGGAAACAUGUUACAGAAUGAACUGUGCUAGGUGGUUGACUCAGGACCCACUUUCCACAUGCGGUGCAAGGCAUUUCUCUGGGCCAACAAGAUAGGACUCUAUUUUCUGUCUUUCCCUGAAGCAGGGAAGGAAUGUAGUCUGAUGAAAGUAUGAACUUUGAGGUUGUAACUAUAGGAAAUACCUUUAAUACUGGUAAGGAGAGAAUGAAUUGUUGUUUCAAAUACCACAGACCGCUGCUUUUGAAUGUUGUUAGUGAAAGAACUCAGUUCUGGUGAGAAAAGUUUUCAAAGUUCACUUUAAGUUCAGUUAUGUGUAAAUUAUUAGUAAAU
rnacentral:lncRNA from 1 species